GACGAACGCUGGCGGCGUGCCUAAUACAUGCAAGUAGAACGCUGAAGGAGGAGCUUGCUUCUCUGGAUGAGUUGCGAACGGGUGAGUAACGCGUAGGUAACCUGCCUGGUAGCGGGGGAUAACUAUUGGAAACGAUAGCUAAUACCGCAUAAGAUUGACUAUUGCAUGAUAGUCAGUUAAAAGGUGCAAUUGCAUCACUACCAGAUGGACCUGCGUUGUAUUAGCUAGUUGGUGGGGUAACGGCUCACCAAGGCGACGAUACAUAGCCGCCCUGAGAGGGGGAUCGGCCACACUGGGACUGGGACACGGCCCAGACUCCUACGGGAGGCAGCAGUAGGGAAUCUUCGGCAAUGGACGGAAGGCUGACCGGGCAACGCCGCGUGAGUGAAGAAGGUUUUCGGGUCGUAAAGCUCUGUUGUAAGGGAAGAACGAGUGUGGGAGUGGAAAGUUCACACUGUGACGGUAUCUUACCAGAAAGGGACGGCUAACUACGUG
rnacentral:rRNA from 1 species